rnacentral:rRNA from 1 species
GUCUACGGCCAUACCACCUUGAAUGCACCCGACCUCAUCUAAUCUUGAAGACUAAGCAGGGUCGGGCCUGGUUAGUACUUGGAUGGGAGAAAAAACAAAGAAAAGCAUAAUAGCUU